rnacentral:rRNA from 1 species
CUCCUACGGGAGGCAGCAGCAGGGAAUAUUGCGCAAUGGGCGAAAGCCUGACGCAGCAACGCCGCGUGGGGGAUGAAGGCUCUCGGGUUGUAAACCCCUUUCAGUGGGAACGAAAAUGACGGUACCCACAGAAGAAGCCCCGGCCAACUACGUGCCAGCAGCCGCGGUAACACGUAGGGGGCAAGCGUUGUCCGGAUUUAUUGGGCGUAAAGAGCUCGUAGGCGGUUCGGUAAGUCGGGUGUGAAAACUCCAAGCUCAACUUGGAGACGCCACCCGAUACUGCUGUGACUAGAGUCCGGUAGGGGAGCGUGGAAUUCCUGGUGUAGCGGUGAAAUGCGCAGAUAUCAGGAGGAACACCA